UGUGCAGCCUGGCCGGUUGCCCGCAGCAUUCUACCUGCCGCAUCGGGAAAGGCUGAACCUCGAUGGAGAAGAAAAGGAGACUCCACUGUACGGAACGCUCUCCUGUGCGCAUGCUCCGAGAGAUUUCAUGCCAGGCGGAAGGCACAAGAUACUCCGAUAAUUAAGUAUCAAAGGUUGAUGGAGCGCCAUGGAAAUUCACCGAAGGCUGCUAGCCAGGAGGCUCAAGAAGGAAUUGUCAAAAAGGAGAACUAUCCAGACAUUGUCUUUGCAGCCUAAACAGGAAAGAAAACUCAUAGAAUGGUGGAGUGCCUACAGCAAAGGUAAGAGUGGUAACCAUGGAGAAGCACUGCUCCAGAUGCUCAUUCUAGGAAGGAGCUGAUACCCAGGUGAAGAGGGGCUUCAGCAGACAGACUCCAGCUGUCGGUGCCUUCAGGGUCUGCUCAGGUGUGGAGAACUGCCUUGCCCGAUAUCACAGCCUU